rnacentral:misc_RNA from 1 species
AAUAAAUAAAUAAAUAAAAGAAUGAUAUAGAUCAUAACAAGGCAACAGUCAUGGGUGCUCAAAAGUUGCAUCCCCUGCACUAUGGGCAACAUUUAUGAACUAAAGCAAUAAUCAUUCAGCUGAUUUUAUCAAUUUCGUUAAUCAGUUUAUCAGUUAAUAGCACAGCCACAGUGGACAACUAAGAGAGGAGGAGGAGGAGGAGGA